rnacentral:rRNA from 1 species
AUUGAACGCUGGCGGCAGGCCUAACACAUGCAAGUCGAACGGUAGCACAGAGAGCUUGCUCUCGGGUGACGAGUGGCGGACGGGUGAGUAAUUUCCGGGUAGCUGCCUGUUGGCGGGGGAUAACUACUGGAAACGCUAGCUAAUACCGCAUAACGUCGCAAGGCCAAAGAGGGGGACCCUCGGGCCUCGUGGCCUCGGUUGGUCCCAGAUGGGGUUAGCUUGUUGGGGAGGUAAAGGCUCACCAAGGCGACGAUCCCUAGCUGGUCUGGGAGGAGGACCAGCCACACUGGGACUGAGACACGGUCCAGACUCCUACGGGAGGCAGCAGUGGGGAAUAUUGCACAAUGGGCGCAAGCCUGAUGCAGCCAUGCCGCGUGUGGGAAGAAGGCCUUCGGGUUGUAAAGCACUUUCAGCGGGGAGGAAGGCGGUGAGUUUAAUAAGCUCACCGAUUGACGUUACCCGCAGAAUAAGCACCGGCUAACUCUGUGCCAGCCGCCGCGGUAA